GAUAGUGUAGUAAAAUGGAAAUAACUCUGGUUUGGAAUCAGAGGACCUGGCUUAGAAUCCCAGUGCUGCUA
rnacentral:tRNA from 1 species